UUCACCCUACGCGACAAUGGUGAGCAACGACAGCCAAUCAACCUUAGCCGAGACACUGAGGUUUUGUCAUGCUUGUUGCUGGUUACUUUAUAAUGUGUUAUUUUUUUUUGGGUUGCUCUGGCCCCUGCAAGUGCAUGUUAUGCCAUGGCCUGAAACCAAGGAGGUGGGCUAAGUGCUGACGGAGCACAGAAAACAGCUACUCUGUCUUUCUCAAACAUCUUCAAGGUCUCUCGGGAGGAAUAAAUUACCCUGAGGAGGUGUUUGCUUUAGGGAGACAGCUCUGGUGCUGUACAGGGUCCACACAGCGGUGGAUUCGAGAGGGGUAUCUGCACUCGCUGUUCCUUUUUCCUAUGCAUAUACCUCUUUGAGAUCUAGCUUUAAAGAGGCAUAGGGCAUGGGAAAAUGGGGCUGCAGAGGUAUUUCACCGACCAAACUACCCCUGGUUGGUCAACUACCACAGCCCGGAGUUCUCCCUGUUCCCCCAUCUUGGACCUGAUCUAGAGGACUCCAGAAUAAAAAGACCACAACAAGACCACACCCUGAACUCAGUGGAGAGACCAUACCAUACCUCGUAAGGAGAGACUGGAUUUUACAAUGUCCUGAAACAUUCUGUUGUCAUCUGAUGGCUCCUUUAUUUAUGAUGAUAAUACUAUAGUACAUUUCAUAGAUGUCCAAGCUGUUGCUGUAUUGCUGACUUUUUAUAUUGCUUAAUGUUUUGUAAUGUUUGUUGUCCACCUAGUGGGUGGAAUUGUCUGUUGUUGUAACAAAGUGUGUAAAAAAAAAGAACCAAUUAUUGAUCUUCAAA